rnacentral:rRNA from 1 species
CCCUUAGAUGUUCUGGGCCGCACGCGUGCUACACUGAGUAAUUCAAUGGGUAAGGGAACGCUAGAGCAUUACCUAAUCUUGAAAUUUGCUCGUGAUGGGGAUCGACGGUUGCAAUUUUCCGUCGUGAACGAGGAAUACCUUGUAGGCGCAUGUCAUCAUCAUGCGCCGAAUACGUCCCUGCCCUUUGUACACACCGCCCGUCGCUCCUUCCGAUUGAGUGAUCCGGUGAGGCUCUGGGACCUGGACGGAAAGAGCGUUUCGCUUGUUCUGUUUGGGAAACUUGGUCGAACCUUAUCAUUUAGAGGAAGGAGAAGUCGUAACA